rnacentral:rRNA from 1 species
CAGCAGCCACGGGAAUACGGUGGGUGCAAGCGUUAAUCGGAAUUACUGGGCGUAAAGCGCACGCAGGCGGUCUGACAAGUCAGAUGUGAAAUCCCCGGGCUUAACCUGGGAACUGCAUUUGAAACUGUCAGGCUGGAGUCUUGUAGAGGGGGGUGGAAUUCCAGGUGUAGCGGUGAAAUGCGUAGAGAUCUGGAGGAAUACCGGUGGCGAAGGCGGCCCCCUGGACAAAGACUGACGCUCAGGUGCGAAAGCGUGGGGAGCAAACAGGAUUAGAUACCGUGUAGUCCCUGUCUCUUAUACC